UGAGGAAUAUUGGUCAAUGGCCGUAAGGCUGAACCAGCCAAGUAGCGUGAGGGACGACGGCCCUAUGGGUUGUAAACCUCUUUUAUGCGGGAAUAAAAUGUUUGACGUGUCAUUCAUUGUAGGUACCGCAAGAAUAAGGACCGGCUAAUUCCGUGCCAGCAGCCGCGGUAAUACGGAAGGUCCAGGCGUUAUCCGGAUUUAUUGGGUUUAAAGGGAGCGUAGGCCGCAAGUCAAGCGUGUUGUGAAAUGCAGGGGCCCAACCUCUGGAUUGCAGCGCGAACUGGCAUGCUUGAGUACGCACGAGGUAGGCGGAAUUUGUGGUGUAGCGGUGAAAUGCUUAGAUAUCACGAAGAACUCCAAUUGCGAAGGCAGCUUACCGGAGCGCAACUGACGCUGAAGCUCGAAAGUGCGGGUAUCGAACA
rnacentral:rRNA from 1 species